UUAGGAAUAUUCGUCAAUGGGGGAAACCCUGAACGAGCAAUGCCGCGUGAGUGAAGAAGGUCCUCUGGAUUGUAAAACUCUGUUGUUUGGAAAGAACGACCUGUAGAGGAAAUGCUACAGGAGUGACGGUACCAUUCAAGAAAGCCACGGCUAACUACGUGCCAGCAGCCGCGGUAAUACGUAGGUGGCGAGCGUUAUCCGGAUUUAUUGGGCGUAAAGCGUCCGCAGCCGGCUUGUUAAGUCUAGAAUAAAAGCCUGGAGCUCAACUCCAGUUCGUUCUAGAAACUGAUAGGCUUGAGUGUGGUAGAGGCAAGUGGAAUUUCUAGUGUAGCGGUAGAAUGCGUAGAUAUUAGAAGGAACACCAGUGGCGAAGGCGACUUGCUGGGCCAUUACUGACGGUCAGGGACGAAAGCGUGGGGAGCGAAUAGG
rnacentral:rRNA from 1 species